AUGCAAUUUGAGUGCAAUCGAUGAGAUGAUUGCACUCGAUGCAUAUACAGUGCAGUCGCCAGAUAUUAAGGCGCGCAAAGAAAAUCCAUUUGAAUACUUAUUCGCAGCGAAAAAGUCUCUUGACUUUAUUAACAUGCAAAAAAGAAGGAUACGUUAGUUCGAAGACUAUCUUCACCUGUCUGUCUUCGUAAUUAGAGAGUUAUUACAGCUGAUGUUAAUUUUUAAUCGUUAUAUACGGAUAUGUGUAUUGUGUAAUUGCGGGUCUGCAGAGUUGGAUAUUUUAUAUUCUGUCAUAAACGUACACAUAUCGAAAGAAGUUAGUAGUCUAAACUGUCUCUGGCUUAUCUGUUUGAAUUGUAUGGGGAGAAAAGCGUGCUGAGUCCCACUAUAGACCGCCGCGUACAAUUAGAAAGAAAAUAAAUUCUUUCAAACCUCACGUCGCUCCUCACCGGUUGUUGGGUGUAUAUCUCUGAAAUAAAUCUAGUGAAUUGAUGGUAGCAUUUAGAUUUUAGAGACAAUCGGUUGUAAUAAAGGGAGCUGGGGGGAUGGACGAAAAGUCGGGGAAGAGAAAGAGUGCUAUUCGUGCCGGUCUUUGAAAUAGCGGUGAUGCAGUUGCGCUUAUACGAUCCGAAACGGCGCGUGCAGCCCAUAUCCCAUCUACCCACCUCUUCGGUAUAAUAUUGAAGAAGUCUGGAAGUGCAGCACAUUCCUAGGGAAAAGGGCACCUUGCGCCAGCUGCCUACCGUCAUCGGCAGCUAACUUCAAACCCGAAGUCAUCCCCUUCAACUCUCCCUAUUACUGCAGGAGUCCCGGUUACACUCCAGACAUCACCCUUCUUUGUCCCUUAACGCCUGCAUGCCACGCUUAUGAAACCAGAUACACAAUUUCAGGUACUGAUUAGUCGUUUCUAUACGUGUGUCUAUCAACGCGUUCCAAAAAUCUGCAAAAGAUUACGAUAUCGCAGGAAUUUUGUUAGCCCCUCCAGAUUCAAUAAAGAUAUUACAUCUAUUGGGAUAUAAUUUUAAAAAAUGCAUCACAUUUAUAUCCCGAUCGAGAUUCAUUCUGAAUGAUUUCUAAUACAGAUUCGUUGCUAAAAAAUGACGUUCAUAAUUGAUAUCAUCAGUCUGUACAACGGAUUCUAAUAACAAGAUAUAUGUGUCCCUUUGAAGUACGAAGAAAAUCACAUUGUGAUAUUCAUUUUCGAUAAAUUUUUAAAAUCUAUGAAGAAACAAUUAUUCCGAUCAAAUAAAAUGUUUCAGUUAUCAAAGGAUGCGGGGAAAGUAUUCGUUCCUCGAUGGUUGAAAUCGACCGGUAUAUGUAUUUUACUUGAAGUAUACGAACGCGUGUCUCGCCAUAACCGGGCGCAAAGAAUGAAGGGACAUAAAAAUGAAUGUCCUGUAACUUACCGGGUACCUGUAACCACGGAUACGUUAUACUCGAGCAAUGAAUAACGAAAAAAAAUGAAAUUAAGUAAAAUAAAAGAAAUUGAAAAACAGAGAUAAGAAAAAAGAGGAUGAGGAGGAGAAGUCCGCUUAAAUGGAGAGACAGCUGAGUGUUUCGUUCGCGUAUAGAAGUUAAAAUGUACAUGAAUACAGGUACGAGCAAUCCACAUAAAAGCUAUACCGUGUAUCGGAAUAAGGAGGAGAAGGAGGAAGCGGUAGCGGUGGUGGUGGUGGUGGUGGUGGUGGUACGCGAAUUAUUUAUUAUCAUACACUUGACCCAAUUGUCCGUUGAAAAAAUAAAAAUAAAGAAAAUGCAGGACGCGUGCGCAUUUCUGAAUUCGCGUACGUGAUGCGAUAUAGUUUGAUCUUCAGUUACACCCGUAAUUCCCGAUAUAUUGCAGACUGCAGAGAUAAGGACGAUGAUCGGAUCAGUGUUGGACAACCCGUUCUUUUAACCGAACUCUUUUAUGGCUGUAUACUUAUUAAAUAUAUGCCUUUAUCCUUUUUCACAGCGGAUUCGCCGUUUUAUGCAAUUUACCUUACGGCAUGCCGCCUGCGUACCUGACGAGGUCGUCGUAUCAGAUCAAUUACAACCGAGCGGGGAUUAACUCAGGGCGCGGAAUCCGGACCGGUCCAAAUCGAAAGCGCUGCGUUAUAAAUCCCGUUUUAAGAGACGUAUGUAUCCCAUACACAAGUUCGCAAGAUCAACAGCGAUCCCGGCGCCCACGGGUCCAACGGGGUGAUGCCCGAUGCCGAAAGCCGCAAUCGCCGUUGCUCCUGAUUCCGUUCCUCUUACCUCCGUCGCUGCGGUAGAAGUACGUCGUAAGAAAUUAAUAAAUUAUCCCAAUUAUCAUCGUCUCGAAUUUAUAUCGAACGACGUAUCGGGUCACGAGAUCGUCGCGUGGCCGAGCGAAUUUUUUUUCCAAAUUUCUCGAUUCGUCCCCGUUUCUCCCGAAAUGAUCGGUAUCGGAAAAAUUCCGAACAACGUAAUCCGAUAUUGUAUUUUCAUGCGUUUUUUUUCCUUUUUUCGGUGUCCGAAAAAACAAGCCCCGCUCGGAAUAAACUCAUCACGAGCGACGGAGGAGGAGAAAUAAAAUUAAAGAAGACGGACCGAAACUGAAGCAAACCAAAAAAUUGGUAAGGGUGAUUAUAACGGAGGGUGAGCCCAAAAAUAUCACGACUUCAGGUUUGUGUAAACCUAUGCACUCGUGUGUAUCUCUGUGUAUGUUUUUAUGUAUUUAUAUAUAUAUAUAUACACAGUAAGUGUGGGAAGGUACCCAUCCGAAAAUAAUGGCGAGAAGGUGUUGUCCGUUCGUUGAUUCGUUUAUUCGUUGGUUCCGUUCGUUCGGGUAGACGGGCACGACUGCCAACUGGUGUUCUCAGCUGAAGAGCGCGUUCCUUCGGCACGUGGCCAUAUACCCAACACUACCUACCAUCACCGUUCGUUGUCUUUUAACCGAUCCGGUGUCAGGGUGGUCUCGUGCCAGAGGCACGAGUCCGACCAACCCCUCUCUACGGUUAAAAUCGACGCGCGGACAUUUAUUUUUAGGGAGGGGGGGGGGGGGCCUAAAAUCAAAAGAAUUUUCUUUCAGAUAUCACUAGAGUCGGAUCGUUCGAUGAGGCGAGAUUUUGAAAAAUUUCAUGAAAACGAAAACGCUCGAAACUUGCAUAUAUUUAUCAUAUAUAUAUAUAGGAAAAUCUAGACGUGAGUUUUUAGACGAUCACGAUGCGCUACGUAACGUCGCGUAGUUAUUUCGUACGCGUGCCAUGUGUCCGUUCGCCCCCGCUUUUACCGUAUAUUGUAUCGAGUUUUGACGCCGGCGGCUAAAGCGCGACUUUUCCGAUUACCGAUCCGCCGACCCACCUCGAACAAUAAAUUAUGGCCUCGAUUGCGUAAUGUAAGGAAAUCCCGGAAGGAAUCGUGCUAUAUCACGAUUCAACACGGCGUACGUACACGCUAAUAAAUCAGAUUUUAACUUCAGCGCGGUGCGGAUUAAUUUAUUUUAAAGUCGAAAAUCUGCAGUACAUCAUGAACUGCACUGGAUAAGAGACGAAAAAAAUAAUAAAUCUUUCCUAAUUAUAGAUUAUAUUUUUUAUACGUUAUAAUCAUAUAUAUUCGGAGAGAUUUUAAUCUUUUCUCUCUGCGGAAAGAUGUUUUGGGAUGUGAGGUUCGAUCGGAAAUCGUACGUGGAAGCGCAUCUGGAGUAUCGUCUGUAGAAGGAAAAGAGAAAGGAGAGGGAAAAAAAAAAAAAAAUUAUAGAUUUAAAAAGACAGAGAGUAAUUAGCCGUUAAUCUCAUCGGGUCUGGCAUGGCUCGCGCGCCACGCGUAUAUGUAUAUGUAUGUAUAUACCUAUGUGGUUUUCGACUUAAACGUAGGAGCGAAAGACAAAAAAUGAUAAACGAAAAAAAAGCAAAAAUAAAUUUCGGAUUCCCCUGGGCGCGUUACAACAGAUAUAUGUAUAUAUAUAUAUCUUUAUAGAUAUGUGUAUAUGUGUAAAUGGCUAUACGCUCGUGUAUAAAUGUGUGUGUGCGUGUGUAUUCGUGAGUAUAGGAAACGUCAUGUGCUACAUUAAUUGGAUCGACUACACGUUUCUCUGUUGCGCCGUUGCCCGUUGGUUCCGGCAAACCUUACGGGUUCCUCUACUCCCCCCUUUUUUUUUUUUUUUUUCUUCUUCUCUUUUUCUCUUUUUCAUUCUCUUUCUCUACCAAUAUUCCCCUGGAUGAUAUUCAGCACCGGCGAUGUAGUUGAACUACCUUCAUUCAACGGUACCCACAACAAAGAUUCAUCCCAUUAGGGCGGGAACCGUGCGAACAUGUUCGAUCCGUACGUCGUAGCGAAGCCGAUGUCGUAAAUUAUAAACUGCACCGGGUGGACAAGAGAAAAAAACAAAAACAAAAACAAAAACAAAACAAGGAGAGAAACAAAAAGAAAAGAAGAUACAAAAUUAAAGAGUCGGGCACGUGUUCCAUCGGUUAUCGUUUUCUGAUCGUGAACGUUAAAGCCCGUUUCAUUGGUCCGGUUAUACUCAAUACACGUAUAGCUUCGUAACAGCGGUGGAGAACCAACCCCGUUCAUCGGUCAACGAGUAGAAGAAGAAGAAGAAGAAGAAGAAGAGGUAAGAGCGGCAGCAGUUACGACCCUCAAGGACUCCCGGAGGAUA